rnacentral:rRNA from 1 species
UACGGGGGAUGCGAGCGUUAUCCGGAUUUAUUGGGUUUAAAGGGCGCGUAGGCGGGACGCCAAGUCAGCGGUAAAAGACUGCAGCUAAACUGUAGCACGCCGUUGAAACUGGCGACCUGGAGACGAGACGAAGGAGGCGGAACAAGUGAAGUAGCGGUGAAAUGCUUAGAUAUCACUUGGAACCCCGAUAGCGAAGGCAGCUUCCCAGGCUCGAUCUGACGCUGAUGCGCGAGAGCGUGGGUAGCGAACAGG